UUUUCUUUUUAUUUUAUAUAGAUUGAUCUUGCCGCCAAACUAGAUACACAAGGAACCACGAUCGAUGUAUGCGACUAUCUCACUUGUCACUUCCCGGACUUUUGCAACAUAUUGAAACAGUACAAAAGUAAAUGUCCCGGUGUAAUCAAGAAGCUUGUUCCACAAUGCCAGUGUCCUUUGAAGAAGAACGAAUAUACCGUUACCAAAGCAACAAUACCGCUUCCAUCUCCACCAAUAGCUGUAGAUGGACUACUCCAUGCAACGGUGAAUGUAAAAGAGUCCGGCAAGCAGAUGGGGUGCAUAGACAUGACAAUUUGUAUUGGCUCCUGUUAAAAAAACGACAAGAAGAAGAAGAAAUAUUGCAAUUUUACAAAACAGACGUAUGAAAUCAAUCGUAAAAAAAUAUAUAGCUGGCUAAAUGAGAUGAUCAUUCUUGCGAAAUAACCAGUUUCGUUUCUUCGCAAUUUUGAAGUCAUGAUUGUCAAAAGGAUUGUUACAAAGACUCUGACAAUCACUACUGCAUACACAUGCCAUUAAAAGGGUCAUGAAAUUGGCCUUAUUUUUUUCAAACGUUUCUAACAGAGUUUUAACAGGUCACCAUUAAAAUUCACCCAUUAGUUCUUACUAUUUAAUGGGAUUUUCAUGACCAUAGUUUUAAUGCCAUACAUUAAAAAGCCAUGAAAUAUGUAUAUUAAAACCCUGGUAAAAUAUACCUUGUUAAAAUGACUUUGAUGGCCAUGAAAAGCUGCCUAAAAUAAACCAUUAAAAUAAGUUAAGAGGCUCCUUAAAACUCCGUGAAAAAUUUUAAUUGGCAUGAAAUUGAUGUGCCAUUAAAAAAUAUCCCUUAAUUCCCCAUUAAUAAGUAAGAACUAAUGGGGCCAUUAAUUCUUUUAAUACUCUGUUAAUACCUGUUAAUUAUUAAAAAAUCGAUUUAUGGUCUCAUUAAAUAUGCGAGAUUCAAUUUUAAUGGGUUCGUAACUUCGUAAUAUUUUAAUGGUAUUUCAAAUUAAGGGCCAUGAAAAUUUGCCAUAGGAAUUAGACAUCUUAAGAUAAUCAGCUUCAUAUUUAUUUUUGCCGUAUUGAUUUAAACUACGUAUUUAUACACGUAUAAUAAUACCUAUACAUAUGUACUGUUUUUUAAAAUGCUAGAAGAAUAUUUGUUUCUUCUUUUUUCUCUCAUUAUUUUGUAAUGUAAACACAUGUAACAGCCUCGUACAUAUUGUCAUAUUGUAUCCUUAUUCUGUCAUAUGUUCAUAUGAAAUGAGAAAAUAAAUGGAUUUUGUAUUGAA